CUUGGUCAUUUAGAGGAAGUAAAAGUCGUAACAAGGUCUCCGUUGGUGAACCAGCGGAGGGAUCAUUAAAGAGUUGCAAAACUCCCAAACCAUUGUGAACAUACCUUCAACGUUGCUUCGGCGGGUUGGCCCCGGUCUCCGGGGUCCCCGGCCCUACUCGGGCGCCCGCCGGAGGUAUCUAACUCUUGAACUUUUAUGGCCUCUCUGAGUCUUUGUACUUAAGAAGUCAAAACUUUCAACAACGGAUCUCUUGGUUCUGGCAUCGAUGAAGAACGCAGCGAAAUGCGAUAAGUAAUGUGAAUUGCAGAAUUCAGUGAAUCAUCGAAUCUUUGAACGCACAUUGCGCCCGCCAGUAUUCUGGCGGGCAUGCCUGUUCGAGCGUCAUUUCAACCAUCAAGCCCCCGGCUUGUGUUGGGGACCUGCGGCUGCCGCAGGCCCUGAAAACCAGUGGCGGGCUCGCUAGUCACUCCGAGCGUAGUAAUACAUCUCGCUCAGGGCGUGCUGCGGGUUCCGGCCGUUAAAAAGCCUUAUUUACCCAAGGUUGACCUCGGAUCAGGUAGGAAGACCCGCUGAACUUAAGCAUAUCAAUAAGCGGAGGA
rnacentral:misc_RNA from 1 species